UAAUUGAAUAGCCAUCUAGGUGCUUAGCCAUAAGCUAAGAGGGAAAGAGGUUGAAAUCCUCUGCAGCCCCCGCUACUGUAAUUAGGGAUGAAAUCCGGAAUACCACCGAUUAUCGGGAAGGUCGGAAAGUAAAGUGAACUAUAAGCCAGGAAACCUGCCUUGAUGCAAUACAACCA
rnacentral:ncRNA from 2 species